UUUUAUUUUUUUAUUAUACAACAAAAUUUAAUUUCAGUAAAACCAAAACAAAAAGAAGAGGAAUGAAGGCGCCUGGGCAGCUGGAGAAGAACUUUUAGAUUCAUUAAUAAAAUAUAGAAUAAAAUAUAAAAUGAUCCUAGAAUCAGAGAGCAACGGGAGAAAAAACUUUUCAAUGAGACGAGAUGCUCACAUGCUAACAGCACCGCUAAAACGGAUCAGGAACCAUUUCAGUCCAAACCAGUUCCUGCUAGGCAACCUGCUAGCUCUCUGUUACCAUGACGCCCACUACGACGGCUCAGGAAGUCCAGAAAGAAAUCUACUUCCUGUUCGGAUCCAAACCGGUCUGUUUUCACACAAGAACCAAACCACAGCUGGUUUGGUCAGAUCAGACAGUGGAUCUGGGUACGGUUGUUUGGUCCGGUGCAAGAUUCAGUGGAGUGGGUUCAGCUGGACUAAAAGUCCGGACCAACAAGGAAACAAACGGAUCCGUUCAAAUCAGACCAGACGGUCAGAACCACGCCAACCCAGACUCAAAGGCUGUCUGACAGGAAGUGACGGCCGAAGCCUUACAGCGGCGGCGGCGAUGAGACCAGAUCGCACAUCAUGACCGGUUCACGCCAUUUAGAACCAAACGGCGCUUCAAAACGUUUGGCAAGUACCGGGGGUUUGGAUAUCCAUCUGUAGUUUAAAUCUGCUGUUUCCAGAUUUUAGGAUGUUAGUUUGGAUUCUCAAUUAAAGAUGAAAUCAGAUGAUAGCAGCUGACAGUAGGUGAAAAAUAUAAACUAACAAUUGUCAAUAAAUUUCUCUAAAUUAACUUGUUUGCAUAGACAUAAUUUAAAAGGAUAAUUUAUUUAAGUAGUCACUAAUAAUAAGAGAUAAGUUUUACUCACAAAAGAAAUAGUCUGGCAAAAACAAAUCCUGAAAUGUAAAAGUAAUGAAAGUGAGUGGUGAAUGUGUUUAUUUCAGACUCCUGCAUGGAGAGGCGGAGCGGCUCCUCAGAUGUUCUCUCUCUGCUGCUGCAGUUAUCAAUAAAUCAUCUCAGUCUGACUGAAGCUUCACACUUUCAGCUUUCUGGAUGUUUCUUCCUAUUUUCUUUCUGCACAGCGUCUCUUUGUCUCCAGCAUGCAGCUCCACUCAGACUGAACGUAUUAGGAUGUAAUUAUGUUUGAGGAUGAGACGCUGAGCUGCAGCAGGACGCCGAACAAACGAGCGAGCCGCAGAGAAGAGACGGAGCGGAGCUCAUCACGGAGCGGCAGGGACAGGUUUAUGAUGAUGCUGCAGCCUGAACACGUCUUCAUCACUGCAGCCUCUGAUUCCUCCUCCUCAGUUUGCCUCAGGGUAACUAAAGACGUCUCCAACUCUGAAUCAACUCUUUGGAGCUCCAAAGAUCUCCAAACCUCUGCAGCAGAUUCUGUAAGCUCUGAAAGUUGCUGGUUGGUUCAGAAAAUCCUGAAGAUUCAUUCAGAUUUGGAAAAUUUGGAGUUCAGAGACGAACUUUUAAUCCAAGGAUGGAAUCCCAGCAGCCCAGUUCAGUCCGCUUUAACCCAUCUCCAGUCCAUUUGUCUUGAAAGUCCGGUUCGGUUGGUGAGGUGUGAAUGCUAAUCGACC